AUUGAACGCUGGCGGCAUGCUUUACACAUGCAAGUCGAACGGUAACAGGCCUUCGGGUGCUGACGAGUGGCGAACGGGUGAGUAAUGCAUCGGAACGUGCCCAGAGGUGGGGGAUAACGCAGCGAAAGCUGUGCUAAUACCGCAUGUGAUCUGAGGAUGAAAGCGGGGGACCAGGCAGCAAUGUUUGGCCUCGCGCCUUUGGAGCGGCCGAUGUCAGAUUAGGUAGUUGGUGGGGUAAAGGCCUACCAAGCCGACGAUCUGUAGCUGGUCUGAGAGGACGACCAGCCACACUGGGACUGAGACACGGCCCAGACUCCUACGGGAGGCAGCAGUGGGGAAUUUUGGACAAUGGGCGCAAGCCUGAUCGAGCAAUGCCGCGUGCGGGAAGAAGGCCUUCGGGUUGUAAACCGCUUUUGUACGGAACGAAAAGGCUCUGGCUAAUACCUGGGGCUGAUGACGGUACCGUAAGAAUAAGCACCGGCUAACUACGUG
rnacentral:rRNA from 1 species